GUAAUAUAACUUUCAAUUUAACUACAAUGUAUAAAUUAUGUUUUAUAUGCUGUCAACGUAUUUUACGCUUAUUACAUAAUAUCUCGAGUGAUUUCAAAAUGACAACUAUCAUUAUGUUACGCGUAUGGGUGAAAAAAAACAAGAAUAUCAACAUACUAAUUUAAAGAUAUUCCAUAACCUGUGUGAUUAAACAUUCCUUAAUGUACUUACUGGAUACGUUUGUGCUGUAAUAUUUUACAUUAUUUGUACUAAUAUUUUGUAUUUUAUUAUUAAUUUGUACAAAAUAGAUAAUAAACAGCCAAAAUGAUAAAAAGUGGUACAUUAAAACUAAAUUGCGUAGCUGGUAAUUCAAUUAAUAAACUUAGGUAUUUAUCAGCACAAGGUUCUGGUACAGGUAAGGACAUGGGUUUAAAAUUUGACAAUCACAAUCCAAAGCCUAUUAUAUUACCACCUGAAACAAUGCCAUCGACACCAUAUCCAACUCCUGUGGUAGAAAUACCAGGCCCUAUAGUUGAACCUACACUUCCUCAGUCGAUACCUCAACCUCAACCUCAACCAGAUUCUAAACCGCCUACUGAAAUUCCAAUGCCUAAUAAAACUACAAUUGCAGCCAAGAAAGUACAACAAAACAUAGAAGAUGAUGUCUUGUUUGAAGAUGUGGGAAACAAAGGUGUUAUCAUAUUAAAUCGUCCAAAAGCACUGAAUGCCUUAAAUUUGUCAAUGGUUGAAAAAAUAUACCCGGUACUUAAAAAAUGGGAAUCAUCUAAAAGAUUAGUAAUAAUAGAAGGUGCGGGAGAGAAAGCAUUUUGUGCAGGUGGUGAUGUGAAAUCUAUCGUUAAUACAUUAAGAGAAACUGAGAAUAAAAUCUUAGGUGAAACAUUUUUCAGAAAGGAGUAUACUUUAAAUUACCUCAUUGGUAGAUAUAAAAUACCAUAUGUGGCUACAAUAGAUGGAAUAACUAUGGGUGGCGGUGUUGGAUUAUCUGUUCACGGUAAAUAUCGGAUUGCAACAGAGAAAACAUUAUUUGCAAUGCCAGAAACAGCAAUUGGAUUAUUUCCUGAUGUUGGUGGGACUUUUUUUUUACCUAGGUUGAAAGGUAAAUUGGGUCUUUAUCUUGGAUUAACUGGAGAUCGAUUAAAAGGCAUUGAUGUAGUACUUGCUGGCAUUGCGACGCAUUUCAUUCCUUCCGAAAAGUUACCAUAUUUAAAACAAGAUCUAUUAACAACUGAACAAUCUGAUGUUAAGGAAGUCUUAAACAAGUAUCAAUGUAUAAAAUUCAAUCAAGAAUUCAGUUUAGCACCAUAUAUGAAUAAAAUUGAUACAUAUUUUGCUGCAUCAUCUGUAGAAGAAAUAAUACAAAGAUUAAAAGAGGAUAAUUCAGAAUGGGCCAAAAAUACAUUGCAAAUGUUAUUAAAAGCAUCUCCUACUUCUCUAAAAGUCACUAUGCGUGCUAUUCAAAGAGGGAGCACAUUAAAUCUGUCAGACUGUUUAAAAAUGGAAUAUAGAUUAGCGUGUACUGCUUUGAGCAGAACAAGCGAUUUUUGUGAAGGUGUAAGAGCUCUUUUAAUCGAUAAAGAUCAGAAACCAAUAUGGAAUCCUAACAGUUUAAAAGAAGUAACAGAUGCUUAUGUAGAUCAACAAUUUACAAAACUUCUAGAAGAAAAAGAAUUGCAGCUUUGAAACUGAUCAGAAUAUUAAGGAAAUGACACAAUAAAUGAAUAUUAUAUAAAAUAUAACUCGCGCGCGCGUUCGCACACAGACAGACACAAAGUACACAUUAUGUAUGAAAAAUAAUGAACAAAAUAUAUAAGUGUUUAUAAUUA